CAAUCAAUUACAAUAGUUAAUCCAUUGCAGCUGUCUCUUUGGUAUGUUCAGGCUGGUUGUCCAAUGGAGACAAGGGAGGGUACGAUGGUGAUGGUGAUGGUGUCACUGGUCCUGGAGAUGGUGAUACUGGCACCGGUGAUGGCACCGGUGACACUGGCACCGGUGAUGGCACAGGUGUCACUGGCACUGGUGAUGGUGUCACUGGCACAGGUGCCACUGGCACCGGUGAUGGUGUUACUGGCACCGGUGAUGGUGUCACUGGCACCGGCACGGGUGAUGGUGACACUGGUGUUGGUGCUGGUGAUACUGGCACCGGUGAUGGUGAUGGUGAUACUGGUACUGGUGUUGGUGAUACUGGCACUGGUGUUGGUGGCACUAUAACCGGUGUUGGAGGCCCUUGAACCGGUGUUGGUGGCAUUGGAACCAGAAACGGUGGUGUUGGUGGCAGUGGUACUAGAAAUGGUGGCACUGGCACUGAUUGCUCAAAGGCACA
rnacentral:lncRNA from 1 species